CACUAUGUUAUGAGAAAGCUGCACGUGCUGAGAUGAACUGAUAAGUGCCAGCCUGCAGCUAGCAGUGAACUGUACAGCAACAACAGAAGCAUCAAUGGCUGCUGGAGCUAUGUGGGAGGAAUCUGCAUUUCUGACCAAGAUGUGUUCUUGCCUGGGCAGAAAAAUCUCGCUGAACGAUCACAAGCUGUGUCUGAUGCCCUGAAGCGGGACAAGGAGAAGUUUGGGUAAGGACCGGCUCACACACUGUACGGUCUGUGCUCCUCAUGGAAUACCCAGGGAUUUGGAGGCACCAAUGGGCUCUGCAGAAGCCUACACAAAGGUAGCUCAGGGGGAAGGCUGGGAAGGAGGAAUUCAGGCUGUCCUCUCAGGGAAUUUUGCACCUUGCUCUGAGCCAGGCGCACAGCAAAGUAGCUCUGGGGGGCUGGCACCAUGUCAGGGCAGAAACUUCUGACCCACAAAAAAAAAAGAAAAAAAAAAAAGAAAGGAGGAAAUCCUCAAUUUUUCCCAUUUUCCAAUACAUGUAGGACACUUAGGCCAGAUGUUACCAGUUUGCUUUUUUCAAGGAGAGGUGGGGUUGAAGUGGCUGUGUUUAGCCUGGCACAGCUUAGUGCCAGGGGGAGGAUGCUGGUGGAAAUGACCAAGGCAUGCACAUGUUCCCAUGGGGAACAGGUGUGGAUUUUUGUCUGUGGUGGAGCUGAAAGCAUUGUGUUGUAAGCAUACAAAUGUAUGAUUGCUCUGCUAUGGUCUUAGCCUCAGUUGUGAAAAUCAUCUGCUGGUUUUCUGCAAUUGAGUGAAUGCAGUUCCAAAUACUGCCACAGGAAAACAGAAAAGCCACAGCUGGAAACCAGACUGUAGAAAUGGUCAUUUUGGUGGGGAUGCUGGCUAAGGAUCUCAACCUGGGUCUAUGAACAACGGUUACCACUUAGAAAUGGAAUUGUGCAGGUUGCAAAAAUAAAGAACUGAUCUAUGGGAAUGCUGCAAGCAUUGGGAUGUGAAUGCCAGUGGAGCAGCCUCAGUGCAGGGCCACGAGCACCACGAAACCCGUUCUUUGGUGCGGAAAUGCUGGGGGAGAGGGCUGGGAAUCACCUCUCCACCACGUUCCCUCGAUGUACGAAGCACCCAGGCAAUUGCAGGAGCACGACCAGUGGUGUUGUGUGGGGGAUUCUGACAGCCCUCUCCUAGAUGAUACGCAACACGUCAGCCCAACGCCAGCUACUUCGCCGAGGGUGCAGGGGCUUGUAUGGCUCCGAACCUAUGAAUUUCGGCUGCUAGCUGCAUCCUGUACCCCAGGACCGCUCCUAGGCGUUGCUCGCCGGCUUUCCUUUUGUCUCCUAGCGGUCUGACAGCUCACCAUUCCCAUCCACGGCGAUUUGGGGGAGGGGAGCCGUGCCACUGCUGCGGCCGCUCGACGAAUCGCUCGGGUUGGGCUCAGAAAAGCCCACGAAACACCCUUUCGGUGCCGGCCGGGACUCGCGGGGCUCUCCGGCACCGGACAGCACCGCCGCUGUCGGUGCCGGGCGUUUCAAACAGCCAUCUGUCCCGGGGCACGCGUGACGCCGGCUCUGUCUAUAGGCGGAGGCUCUCCCAGCCGCGCCUCACGCCCGCUCCGGAGUCCCCCCAAGCUCC